UGGCUCUGGCAUCGAUGAAGAACGCAGCGAAAUGCGAUAAGUAGUGUGAAUUGCAGAAUUCCGUGAAUCAUCGAAUCUUUGAACGCACAUUGCGCCCCGAGGUAUUCCUCGGGGCAUGCCUGUUCGAGCGUCAUUUACACCCUCAAGCUCUGCUUGGUGUUGGGCGUCUGUCCCCGCGACCCGCGCGGACUCGCCUCAAAGCGAUUGGCGGCCGGUACCGAAGCCCGGAGUGCAGCAGAAUUGCGCUCCCCGCCCGCGUACCUCCCCCCACAAGCGAACCUUUCUUCUUGUUUGACCUCGAAUCAGGUAGGGAUACCCGCUGA
rnacentral:misc_RNA from 1 species